rnacentral:rRNA from 1 species
AAACAUUGAUUGCAAGUACACUAUCAUCCGCCAGGGAACUACUGACACUAGUUUGAAACCCAAAGGACUUGGCGGUGCUCUAUAACCCCCUAGAGGAGCCUGUCCUAGAACCGAUAAUCCACGUUAAACCUCACCCUCCCUUGCUCUUCCCGCCUAUAUACCGCCGUCGUAAGCUUAUCCUGUGAAGGACAAAUAAUGAGCAAAAUUGGCCCCUCCCCCAGAACGUCAGGUCGAGGUGUAGCGAAUGGGAGGGGAAGAAAUGGGCUACAUUCGCUAAACGUACAGCGAAAACGAAUAACGCAUUGAAACAUGUGAUUGAAGGAGGAUUUAGUAGUAAGUAGAAGACAGAGUAUUUU